rnacentral:misc_RNA from 1 species
AACCAUAGAAACCUGCGGAGUACCUGCGGAGGGAUCAUUAAUGAAAAAUGGCGGCCCUAUAAUUUGGGCUGUUCAUCAGUUCUAUUGUGAUACUAUUGAAGCAUAAUAUCAGGGCUUAAAGAUGGGGUUUUUAGGAGUGAGUUUUUUUGGCUUACUUUUAAGAAAACCGGCCCUGAUUUAUUUUAAAUAAGCCAAUUUUGACCUUUUUGACUGAAAAAAUUGAAUUUAAUAAUUCAAAAA